rnacentral:lncRNA from 1 species
AGGUCCCAUGGGGUGGUGGGAUCUCAUGGGGUGGUGGGGUGGUGGGUCUCCCAGGGGUGGUGGGAUUUGGGAUGGUGGGAUCCCAUGGGGUGGUGGGAUUUGGGGUGGUGGGAUCCCAUGGGGUGGUGAGAUGCUGGGGUGGUGGGUCUCCAUGGGGUGGUGGGAUCCCAUGGGGUGGUGGGUCUCCAUGGGGUGGUGGAUUUGGGGUGGUGGG